rnacentral:sRNA from 1 species
GCUGGGCGCGGUGGUGCACACCUGUAAUCCCAGCUUCCCGGGAGGCUGAGGCAGGGGGAUUGCAAGUUCAAAGCCAGCCUCAGCAACCGCGGGGGCCUAUGCAACUCAGUGAGACCCUGUCUCUA